UUGAGUAUGCAAUGCAAUUGGAAAAAUUAUAUCACAGUUUGAACAAUCAUACUUUAUUUGAAAGAUGAGCCAAAGUUGCAUAUACUAAAUUAAAAAAAAAAAAAACAUCAUUCCUCAGCCUGGCAGGAAGCCUUUUGGCUGCAGCUGUAAAAUUUCAUUAGAAAACAAUUGAGAAACAUAUGGAGUAAUGCACUGUUACUUUGAGCAAAAGGUUUAUUUCAUAUUUCUACUGCCUUGUAGAUGCAACUUUCCCAUGGUAGUCAUCUGGAGUGUUCUCCUGUCAAGAAGUCAACUUUAGUUUCCAUUGUUUGUGGAUCACAAUUACAAUGGUGUUAAGGAGUUUUAGGCUUUCAAAUAAUCAGCCCCUGAGGGAUUUUAGGUGUCAGUUAUGGUAUCAGAAGUCUCUUUUAAAGGGAUUUUCUUUGGGAAAAAAUGCCUUCUACAAAUAGGGGCUCCUAUGUCAUGUGAAUGCAAAAGUGGACCUCCCCAGGUGCCUGGAAUCCCACUCUAGAUACAUUGCUUUCAAGUACAAAAAGUUCUCUGUCUCCAAGGACCCUUCUGAAAAUGUAGAUCCUGGGAUGAAUAACACCUUGGAAGAUAUAUCAGAUAGCUAAGAAUAAGGCGCUGGCACAGGAUGGCACAGCUAAGACAUUCAGCCUGUUUGAGCUUUAUUCAUUUCAUCUGCAAAAUGAGGAGACUCUGUGACUAAGCAAUAAUAAUAAUAAGAGCUUCAAAGUUUACAAAAUUCAAUGACUUAUCUCCUUUGACUCUCACAACUACUCUGUGAGGGAAGCUAUGUAUAUUUUGUCACUGUUUUACUGAUGAAGAAAAAUUGCCCCAAAUCACUUAUAUAAUUAAUGGAUCAACAAGGACUGAACCCAACACUUCUGAUUUUCUAACAAUCUAUGAUUUUGUGAUUGAAGAUGUCCUGGAAGAUGUCAGACUGCCAGGAGAGGAAAAAAGUGCUCAAAAAGAGAAGCAGAAGGACAUUGACUUUGCUGUGGGCUAUCCCUAUUUAGAGAAAAAUGGAAGGUUUCGACCUGGUAGAUGAUCUUGUUGAAAUGUUCUGUCUCCUAAGGAAUAGACCACAGAAUGGUCUCAUGGGUAUACAUGAUCCCCAUCUACCGCUUCUAGUGUAGUAAAGUGAAGAUGUCAUAGAAAAAGAGAAUCAAACAAAAUGAAAAGGUAAAUCAGCCCAGAAUAGUAUUUACUGAGCAUUCAUUUCCUACACAAAAUAUUAGACAGAGCAGUGAAUAUUUUUUUAUUAUAGCAAUGUCAGUGGCUUGAAAAUCCAUAACAUGCUUGCAUAUUACAAUUUUCAUACAUCUUUUCACUCUUGCAGCUAAUUUGAAGGCACAAAAAUGGGCAUAUUAAGUUUUAUAAACUUUGGAAAGCCCAUAAACAUGAAAAUUGGAUAGUUUGCCAAACAUUGCGCAACACUAUGUUGCCAUUGAAACAAUGAAGUCACUGUUAAAUAGUUAUGUGUAUAUUGGCUGAGGUUUCCAUGUACCUAUUUACUUUGUCACAAAUAAAAUACCAGGUGAAAGACAAAUGAUGUGUUUGAUGUGCUUUGUUUCACAUGCAGCAAACAACUUUUACAUGUGACAUACAUUUUAUAUUUCUGUUUUU
rnacentral:lncRNA from 1 species